rnacentral:misc_RNA from 1 species
UAAUAAUAUUUGUAUUAAUAUUGAUUAAUUGGUAUUAAUAUUUUUAUUAACAUAUUUUAAUAAAAUAUCUCUUUUAUGAAGUAUUCAAAGACUUUCGUGAAUGACUGUAUUUAGUACUUACAUAUCCUUCGUUUAUGUCCAUUUGCAUUCAUUCGUAUUCACUAUACUUCGUUCGUGUUCGUUCGUCAGGUGCAGAGCCGGCUUUAGAAGCUACGAAUAUAAGAGCUACAAAGUUGCCAAUUCUCACGCGUUCAAUGUUCCUCCUUCGGCCAUAUUGAAGAACACUUCCGUUGCUCGAAGGAUGCAAUCCUGCUUUUCUUUCACAAAAGAAGGUGGACAUGAAAGAACGUCGAGUGGGACUGAACAAAGGAGCUCCUCAGAUAAAAACUAUCAGUUUCACACUGGACAUAGGAAUACAAAGGAUUAAUUUGUAGAAUAUUUUAUAUCUUCAGUCACUUCAGCAUACGUUUCGUUUGCAUUAAAACCAAAAAUGUAACGUGUCUGUCCUUUUCCUAUAAAACGAAAGAAACAUUUGGAACAACCUGAUUCAAACUGUCUGGUUUUCCCUGAUCCCAUGAAAUACCAUGCUAUGAAAUAGAUCGUUCGUUCCAUUCACGGCUUAACUAUUUUCUUUUCACGAUUUGCUACACGUAAUAUUAAAAUAAGAAAAAUAUACAGGUAAUUAGACAUCG